AACGCGAAGAACCUUACCUAGGCUCGAAUGUAGGUGGCGAUACUAGAGAUAGUAUCUUCCGUAAGGACGCCUAUAUAGGUGCUGCAUGGCUGUCGUCAGCUCGUGCCGUGAGGUGUUGGGUUAAGUCCCGCAACGAGCGCAACCCUUAUCAUUAGUUGCCAACAUUUAAGGUGGGGACUCUAAUGAGACUGCCCAGGUUAACUGGGAGGAAGGUGAGGAUGACGUCAAGUCCGCAUGGCCUUUAUGUCUAGGGCUACACACGUGCUACAAUGGUCGGUACAGAAGGCAGCAAAGCCGCAAGGUGGAGCAAAUCCCCAAAACCGAUCUCAGUUCAGAUUGUGGUCUGCAACUCGACCACAUGAAGUUGGAAUUGCUAGUAAUGGCGUGUCAGCAACAACGCCGUGAAUACGUUCCCGGGCCUUGUACACACCGUAGAGAC
rnacentral:rRNA from 1 species